GACGAACGCUGGCGGCGUGCUUAACACAUGCAAGUCGAACGGAAAGGCCCUGCUUUUGUGGGGUGCUCGAGUGGCGAACGGGUGAGUAACACGUGAGUAACCUGCCCUUGACUUUGGAAUAACUUCAGGAAACUGGGGCUAAUACCGGAUAGGAGCUCCUGCUGCAUGGUGGGGGUUGGAAAGUUUCGGCGGUUGGGGAUGGACUCGCGGCUUAUCAGCUUGUUGGUGGGGUAGUGGCUUACCAAGGCUUUGACGGGUAGCCGGCCUGAGAGGGUGACCGGCCACAUUGGGACUGAGAUACGGCCCAGACUCCUACGGGAGGCAGCAGUGGGGAAUAUUGCACAAUGGGCGGAAGCCUGAUGCAGCAACGCCGCGUGCGGGAUGACGGCCUUCGGGUUGUAAACCGCUUCCGCCUGUGACGAAGCGUGAGUGACGGUAAUGGGUAAAGAAGCACCGGCUAACUACGUGCCAGCAGCCGCGGUGAUACGUAGGGUGCGAGCGUUGUCCGGAUUUAUUGGGCGUAAAGGGCUCGUAGGUGGUUGAUCGCGUCGGAAGUGUAAUCUUGGGGCUUAACCCUGAGCGUGCUUUCGAUACGGGUUGACUUGAGGAAGGUAGGGGAGAAUGGAAUUCCUGGUGGAGCGGUGGAAUGCGCAGAUAUCAGGAGGAACACCAGUGGCGAAGGCGGUUCUCUGGGCCUUUCCUGACGCUGAGGAGCGAAAGCGUGGGGAGCGAACAGGCUUAGAUACCCUGGUAGUCCACGCUGUAAACGGUGGGUACUAGGUGUGGGGUCCAUUCCACGGGUUCCGUGCCGUAGCUAACGCUUUAAGUACCCCGCCUGGGGAGUACGGCCGCAAGGCUAAAACUCAAAGGAAUUGACGGGGCCCCGCACAAGCGGCGGAGCAUGCGGAUUAAUUCGAUGCAACGCGUAGAACCUUACCUGGGUUUGACAUGGAUCGGGAGUGCUCAGAGAUGGGUGUGCCUCUUUUGGGGUCGGUUCACAGGUGGUGCAUGGCUGUCGUCAGCUCGUGUCGUGAGAUGUUGGGUUAAGUCCCGCAACGAGCGCAACCCUUGUUCACUGUUGCCAGCACGUUAUGGUGGGGACUCAGUGGAGACCGCCGGGGUCAACUCGGAGGAAGGUGGGGAUGACGUCAAGUCAUCAUGCCCCUUAUGUCCAGGGCUUCACGCAUGCUACAAUGGCUGGUACAGAGAGUGGCGAGCCUGUGAGGGUGAGCGAAUCUCGGAAAGCCGGUCUCAGUUCGGAUUGGGGUCUGCAACUCGACCUCAUGAAGUCGGAGUCGCUAGCAAUCGCAGAUCAGCAACGCUGCGGUGAAUACGUUCCCGGGGCU
rnacentral:rRNA from 1 species